rnacentral:rRNA from 1 species
GACGAACGCUGGCGGCGUGCUUAACACAUGCAAGUCGAACGGAAAGGCUCCAGCUUGCUGGAGUACUCGAGUGGCGAACGGGUGAGUAACACGUGGGUAAUCUGCCCUGCACUCUGGGAUAAGCCUGGGAAACUGGGUCUAAUACUGGAUAUGACCUUUCUCCUUAUGGGGUUUGGUGGAAAGUUUUUUGGUGUAGGAUGAGCCCGCGGCCUAUCAGCUUGUUGGUGGGGUGAUGGCCUACCAAGGCGACGACGGGUAGCCGGCCUGAGAGGGUGAUCGGCCACAUUGGGACUGAGAUACGGCCCAGACUCCUACGGGAGGCAGAAGUGGGGAAUAUUGCACAAUGGGCGGAAGCCUGAUGCAGCGACGCCGCGUGAGGGAUGACGGCCUUCGGGUUGUAAACCUCUUUCAGCAGGGACGAAGCGUAAGUAACGGUACCUGCAGAAGAAGCACCGGCUAACUACGUG